UGGUCCUGAUGCUUAUAGCUGUUGUAGUUCCGAGCUCUUUACAGUGGUCCUGGUGCUGGCCUCUCUGCUCUGUUGCCUCAAGAUGGCCAAAACUAAGGUAAAGCACACCAGGGAUCCACUUUUGAAGAAGAACUGGAGGCCUAUGAAUCUGAGGGAAGAACGAGAAACCUUGAACUCAGGAGCCCACGCCUCAGGAGGCACACGGAAGACAUCUGGAUGCCCAUCACCACCACCACCACCACCACCACCGAGGUCCCUGGGCAAGCAGUUUACCCAGCACUCUCAGGAGCAUGAACUGCAUCCCCACUGCCAGGGUUUUAUCUUCUUUCUUCACACCUCUGCCAGGAAAGACACGGUUGUAUGAGGAUGGACUGAGAGACUCAGCCCCAGCGCCAAGCAGCAGCAGGGUCUCAAUAGGGGAGUCUGGGCUGUGGAGUGCCCUUUCAACCCUGGAUUCUACAUGUCUGGGAGCUUCUGCAAAUAUUCCUGUAUUUGGAUGGAACACAAUUGAAAUCCCUUCCAGAAGGUCAAGUGCCCCCACCAGAGGACCUGCCCCAGGAUCCCAGGCGUGCUCUACCCUAGCUGGAGAACUGAGGUUGGAUAGGAGCUGGAGCUAGAAGAGAGGCUGAGUCUAAAGGGGAGCGAUUAUAGAGAUCUCAUGGAGACUCAGAGGAACACAAGAGGGAAACUCCAUUGGCCUCGGAAAGCCUCAGUGAACUAGAACUUGGAGCGCAUCAAUUAUAAGAUCUUUGGUCUUGUGUGAUGCCUGCAAUUUGAUGGGUAGAGCAGCCAAUGAAGAAGAGCGGCACGCUGAAGAGCAGACACAACAGCGAGCCGAGGAGGCAGAGGGCACUGCACUGCACCGGGCUCAGGUGGAGGCGCUUGACUAAGACACCUCCCAUCAUGAUGCCCACGAUGACCAGAGGGAUAGUGAGGCAGCCAAGGAGCAUGUUGGCAAAGGAGGCUGUGAUGGAAAACUGGCGUUCCAGGAACUUAGGCAGGAAGGUGGCCAUGCCCGCUACCAUGGAUGAGGUGCACACCUGGGACAGGACUACCAGCAAGAAGAUGGGGUGGCGCAGAUUCCGCAGCAGCACCCUAGGGAAGACUGUCGGGACAAGCGGGAAGGAGGUCAGCGUGGGCAGCCAGCCACAGUAUCCACAUCUGUCCAGCCCGCCCCAUCUGUUCCGUUCUCUCUCUUCCAUUCCGUUUAAGUCUAGCGUGUCCCAUGCUAUCACAUUACGUUGGACUCUU
rnacentral:lncRNA from 1 species